rnacentral:ncRNA from 1 species
GAAGGGAGGCCCCUCGAAGCCGGCCGUCAGGGGCAGGCUUCAAACCACUGCAAGCUGCGACGGUAAAGAGCCGUGGUGGUGAGCGUUGUAGAAAAGGCGGGCUUCGAGCCCGUCAGGU